rnacentral:lncRNA from 1 species
GGGUUGCGGCUACCUUGUUCAAUUGUUUGUGUUUGUGUUUGUGAUUUAUGAAGUUGUGGCUGACAGCGUGUGUGUGUGUUAGGUUUGCGUCUUUGCGAGUGAAUUGUUGAGUGCAGGGUGUGUGUGUGUUGUGCACUUGCAGCGUGUGUGUGUGUUGUGCACUUGCAGCGUUUGUGUGUUCUGUGCAGCUCGUGUGUGUGCAGCGUGUGUGUCACAGUGUCAGUGUGUGUGCUGUGCAGCUUGUGACUUGUGUGUGUUGUGCAGUGUGCAGCUUGUGACUUCUAUGUGUGCAGCAGCGUAUGUGUGUGUGGCUUAGUGGCUGUGUGCUGUGCAGCUUGUGACUUCUAUUCUGUGUGUGUGUUGUGUAGCAGCGUAACAAAUUUGUUUGCC